GGGGCCAUAGCUCAGCUGGGAGAGCGCCUGCUUUGCAAGCAGGAGGUCGUCGGUUCGAUCCCGACUGGCUCCA
rnacentral:tRNA from 2 species